AAAUGUUGGUUAUACCCUUCCCGUACUACC
rnacentral:piRNA from 1 species